rnacentral:rRNA from 1 species
UACGUAGGUGGCAAGUGUUGUCCGGAUUUAUUGGGUUUAAAGGGUGCGUAGGCGGCUUUGUAAGUCAGUGGUGAAAUAUGGCAGCUCAACUGUCAAGGUGCCAUUGAUACUGCAGAGCUUGAGUACAGAUGAGGUAGGCGGAAUUGACGGUGUAGCGGUGAAAUGCUUAGAUAUCGUCAAGAACACCUAUAGCGAAGGCAGCUUACUAGGCUGUAACUGACGCUGAGGCACGAAAGUGUGGGGAUCAAACAGG